rnacentral:rRNA from 1 species
CCUACGGGAGGCAGCAGUGGGGAAUAUUGCACAAUGGGGGCAACCCUGAUGCAGCCAUGCCGCGUGUGUGAAGAAGGCCUUCGGGUUGUAAAGCACUUUCAGUUGUGAGGAAAGGUUAGUAGUUAAUACCUGCUAGCUGUGACGUUAACAACAGAAGAAGCACCGGCUAACUCCGUGCCAGCAGCCGCGGUAAUACGGAGGGUGCGAGCGUUAAUCGGAAUUACUGGGCGUAAAGCGCACGCAGGCGGUCUGUUAAGCUAGAUGUGAAAGCCCCGCGCUCAACGUGGGAGGGUCAUUUAGAACUGGCAGACUAGAGUCUUGGAGAGGGGAGUGGAAUUCCAGGUGUAGCGGUGAAAUGCGUAGAGAUCUGGAGGAACAUCAAUGGCGAAGGCAACUCCCUGGCCAAAGACUGACGCUCAUGUGCGAAAGUGUGGGUAGCGAACAGGAUUAGAUACCCUGGUAGUCCACACCGUAAACGCUGUCUACUAGCUGUUUGUGGAUUUAAUCCGUGAGUAGCGAAGCUAACGCGAUAAGUAGACCGCCUGGGGAGUACGGCCGCAAGGUUAAAACUCAAAUGAAUUGACGG